rnacentral:rRNA from 1 species
GACGAGUCUGACGAACGUUAUUCGGAAUUACUGGGCUUAAAGGGUGCGUAGGCGGUGGAGUAAGUCGGGUGUGAAAUCUCGGAGCUUAACUCCGAAACUGCAUUCGAUACUGCCGUGCUUGAGGACUGGAGAGGAGACUGGAAUUUACGGUGUAGCGGUGAAAUGCGUAGAUAUCGUAAGGAAGACCAGUGGCGAAGGCGGGUCUCUGGACAGUUCCUGACGCUGAGGCACGAAGGUCAGGGGAGCAAACGGG